UACUAGAGUAGCACUCGCAUAUCAAUAAGCGGAGGAAAAGAAACUAACAAGGAUUACCCCUAGUAACGGCGAGUGAAGCGGGAAGAGCUCAAAUUUGAAAUCUUAAAGGGUUUCCCUUUACGAAUUGUAGUUUAAAGAAGUGUUUUCUGUUGAGGUUUUGGUAAAAGUUCUUUGGAAUAGGACAUCAUAGAGGGUGAGAAUCCCGUAUUUGACCUUUACUUUCAACUUUGUGAUACACUUUCAAAGAGUCGGAUUGUUUGGGAAUGCAGUCCAAAAUGGGUGGUAAAUUUCAUCUAAAGCUAAAUAUUGGCGAGAGACCGAUAGCGAACAAGUACCGUGAGGGAAAGAUGAAAAGAACUUUGAAAAGAGAGUUAAACAGUACGUGAAAUUGUCAAAAGGGAAGCGUUUGACACCAGUGUUGUUUUUCUGAAAAUCAAUUAAAGAACUGUUUAUGCUAAGCUGUUUAGACUUUAUCAGCUAUCUGUUUAGUUUUGAGCUUUUCUUUAAUGCACUUUUCAGUUAACAAGUCAACAUCAAUUUCUUUUGCUGUAAAAAAGCUUGAGGAAGGUGGCUUGAGAUUCGUCUUAAGUGUUUAUAGCCUCUUGCCUAUGCAGUCGGAGAGAUUGAGGUCUGCAGCGUAGAUCCUUCGGGGCUAAAUGCAUUUGUGCUAAGUUAUAGCAUUUUAUAGACAACUUGUUGACUAUGAUUUGUCUUGUAGCUUACUCGCUUAUGUUAUUUUACCUACGCUUAGGAUGUUGAACUACUGAGACAUAGA
rnacentral:rRNA from 1 species